CUGCGUAGGCGGAGGGCUGCCUGCCCGGAGUCUCCCGCUGUAUCCCUGGCCCGGGCGCUGGGCUCCACCUGCUGAAAGCAGUCAACCGCUGUCCGGCAGGGCUGGGGCCAUUUCUCUGGCGUCGGGGAAGCCCCUCCCAGCCCCGCAGCCUGGAACCCAGCCUCCGGCAGAGGACGCCCGAGUGAG
rnacentral:lncRNA from 1 species